ensembl:lncRNA
CUUGAGCCGUUGCUUUUAGCUCCUUUUGCAGCUUUCGCAGGAUGCUCUCAGCAACACAAACAAUGACAACGAGGUGAGGACGGAGUGACGACACCAGCCGCACAAGUUCCAAGCGGCUGUAUGGGGCAUCAAAUCACUCUCCUAAUGACAUGUCCAGAGGCUACCUGCAGGAAAAGUGACAUUUUAUCUUCCAACCGAAGCAUCUGAUUGGACAUUGGACGGAAAAGCAAAAAAAAUUGGAUACUGUUUAUUUUUUUUAUUAUUUUUUUUAACUUGUGGAAUUCAUCUUCCUGUGUUUGUGGCUUCAAACAGUAAUCUCUAUUUUCCUUUUGUUCUUAUUUCUGUUUAAUAUAUAUGUAUAUUUUUGUUUCUUUGAUUUUCUUUAGUUUGGGUAACAUAAAUGUCAUCGAGAUCUGUGAGCGUGUUUUGAAACCAUUAGUGUUGUUGUACAUGGAGAGCAAAUGUCCUAGAAUGACAAAAGAUCUCGUGAUUUCAUAUAAAAAAUGUUGCUAAAUCAACAAUUUUAUGUGACAUGAAGGCAAACUGCGAUAUCAUAGGCCUAAGAAACAUAAACGUGAGGAUCUUAUGAAAACAUGUAUUUUCCGAGCCCUUUUUCGAUUCUGGUCUUUUCAUCUUCUCUGUAAUGAGAUAGUCUGAAAAACUAAAGGUCAUUUUUUAUCUGCAUCUUUAUUUCCCUCUACAUUCAUUCUCACAGUGCUAUUUUGUUUCCAACCGAGUCUAUAUUACAGAGCAGCUCACACACACAUUCCCCAGCUGAACAGUACCACUGUAGUGGUGAGAUCCUCACCGGGCCCUUUGAUCUCGCCUCGUCUCUUGUGUCUGCUUUCACGGCCAGCUCUGCAUGCAGAGUCGGUUUUUAAUAUGGCAGCGCACCGUGGGUUCCAGAGUAACAAUAAACUUUACCUUCAACUGUCAGCAGGUCUUAAUCACCGGGAUUACUGGAGCACUAAAUGUUGGAAUCCUGUUAAUAUUACGGCGUUGAAAAAGGUAAACAGACCCAAAGAGAUAAAUAUCGCCCGCCCGUCC